rnacentral:rRNA from 1 species
CGCCUUAUACUCCUACGGGAGGCAGCAGUGGGGAAUAUUGCACAAUGGGGGAAACCCUGAUGCAGCGACGCAGCGUGCGGGAUGACGGCCUUCGGGUUGUAAACCGCUUUCAGCAGGGAAGAAGCGCAAGUGACGGUACCUGCAAAAGAAGUACCGGCUAACUACGUGCCAGCAGCCGCGGUAAUACGUAGGGUACGAGCGUUGUCCGGAAUUAUUGGGCGUAAAGAGCUCGUAGGUGGUUGGUCACGUCUGCUGUGGAAACGCGACGCUUAACGUUGCGCGUGCAGUGGGUACGGGCUGACUAGAGUGCAGUAAGGGAGUCUGGAAUUCCUGGUGUAGCGGUGAAAUGCGCAGAUAUCAGGAGGAACACCGGUGGCGAAGGCGGGACUCUGGGCUGUAACUGACACUGAGGAGCGAAAGCAUGGGGAGCGAACAGGAUUAGAAACCCGUGUAGUCCACGUACCA